UCCCAGGUCUGUAGAGCCUGUUCCCAGGUCUGUAGAGCCUGUUCCCAGGUCUGUAGAGCCUGUUCCCAGGUCUGUAGAGCCUGUUCCCAGGUCUGUAGAGCCUGUUCCCAGGUCUGUAGAGCCUGUUCCCAGGUCUGUAGAGCCUGUUCCCAGGUCUGUAGAGCCUGUUCCCAGGUCCGUAAGGUAUGUGCUUGAUGCUGGAAGGAGCCUGUUCCCAGGUCUGUAGAGCCUGUUCCCAGGUCUGUAGAGCCUGUUCCCAGGUCUGUAGAGCCUGUUCCCAGGUCUGUAGAGCCUGUUCCCAGGUCUGUAGAGCCUGUUCCCAGGUCUGUAGAGCCUGUUCCCAGGUCUGUAGAGCCUGUUCCCAGGUCUGUAGAGCCUGUUCCCAGGUCUGUAGAGCCUGUUCCCAGGUCUGUAGAGCCUGUUCCCAGGUCUGUAGAGCCUGUUCCCAGGUCUGUAGAGCCUGUUCCCAGGUCUGUAGAGCCUGUUCCCAGGUCUGUAGAGCCUGUUCCCAGGUCUGUAGAGCCUGUUCCCAGGUCUGUAGAGCCUGUUCCCAGGUCUGUAGAGCCUGUUCCCAGGUCUGUAGAGCCUGUUCCCAGGUCUGUAGAGCCUGUUCCCAGGUCUGUAGAGCCUGUUCCCAGGUCUGUAGAGCCUGUUCCCAGGUCUGUAGAGCCUGUUCCCAGGUCUGUAGAGCCUGUUCCCAGGUCUGUAGAGCCUGUUCCCAGGUCUGUAGAGCC